AUUGAACGCUGGCGGCAGGCCUAACACAUGCAAGUCGAGCGAGCGGCGGACGGGUGAGUAAUGUAUGGGGACUGCCCGAUAGAGGGGGAUAACUACUGGAAACGGUGGCUAAUACCGCAUACUAUCGGAUAACCCAUAUGGGAUUAGCUAGUAGGUGGGUGAAAGGCUCACCUAGGCGACGAUCUCUAGCUGGUCUGAGAGGAUGACCAGCCACACUGGGACGGAGACACGGCCCAGACUCCUACGGAGGCAGCAGUGGGGAAUAUGGGACAAUGGGCGCAAGCCUGAUCCAGCCAUGCCGCGUGUAUGAAGAAGGCCUUAGGGUUGUAAAGUACUUUUAGCGGGGAAGCGUUACCCGCAGAAUAAGCACCGGCUAACUCCGUGCCAGCAGCCGCGGUAAUUC
rnacentral:rRNA from 1 species